rnacentral:rRNA from 1 species
AGGCCCUACGGGGCGCAGCAGGCGCGAAAACUUUACAAUGCGGGAAACCGUGAUAAGGGGACACCGAGUGCCAGCAUCAUAUGCUGGCUGUCCAGAUGUGUAAAAUACAUCUGUUAGCAAGGGCCGGGCAAGACCGGUGCCAGCCGCCGCGGUAACACCGGCGGCCCGAGUGGUGAUCGUGAUUAUUGGGUCUAAAGGGUCCGUAGCCGGUUUGGUCAGUCCUCCGGGAAAUCUGAUGGCUCAACCAUUAGGCUUUCGGGGGAUACUGCCAGGCUUGGAACCGGGAGAGGUAAGAGGUACUACAGGGGUAGGAGUGAAAUCUUGUAAUCCCUGUGAGACCACCUGUGGCGAAGGCGUCUUACCAGAACGGGUUCGACGGUGAGGGACGAAAGCUGGGGGCACGAACCGGAUUAGAUACCCGGGUAGUCCCAGCCGUAAACGAUGCUCGCUAGGUGUCAGGCAUGGCGCGACCGUGUCUGGUGCCGCAGGGAAGCCGUGAAGCGAGCCACCUGGGAAGUACGGCCGCAAGGCUGAAGCUUAAAGGAAUUGGCGGGGGAGCACAACAACGGGUGGAGCCUGCGGUUUAAUUGGACUCAACGCCGGACAACUCACCGGGGACGACAGCAAUAUGUAGGCCAG